rnacentral:rRNA from 1 species
GAAGAUGACUUGCUAGGUGAUGAUAAUUUACUUGUUGACAACUCUAGUGAUGAAUACUAUGAUGAAACAUCAAUUAAUCAUGCUAAUCAAGAUAAAACGAAUGACAAUGAUAAGGAGAAGAUUGAGCUUCUAACUAAAGAACUAAACACUCUCAAGUUAGCUCAUGAAACUAUCUUAGAAGAUCAUCGAGAACUUUUAAGGGCUCAUGAGAAGUUACGCUUUGAAAAGCUCAACCUUGAGCAAGAGCAUGAGUUCUUAAAGGCAAUCAAUGAUGAUCUCCAUAAGAAAAGUUCUUCUUACAUUGCCAAGCAUUUACUCUUAUCAACUUACAUGCAUCAAGUCAAGUCCAUUAACUAG